rnacentral:rRNA from 1 species
CCUACGGGAGGCUGCAGUGAGGAAUAUUGGUCAAUGGGCGUAAGCCUGAACCAGCCACGUCGCGUGAGGGAUGAAGGUUCUAUGGAUCGUAAACCUCUUUUAUAAGGGAAUAAAGUGUGGGACGUGUCCUAUUUUGUAUGUACCUUAUGAAUAAGGAUCGGCUAACUCCGUGCCAGCAGCCGCGGUAAUACGGAGGCUCCGAGCGUUAUCCGGAUUUAUUGGGUUUAAAGGGUGCGUAGGCGGCCUUUUAAGUCAGCUGGGAAAGUCUGUGGCUCAACCAUAGAAUUGCCGUUGAAACUGGUGGUCUAGAGUAUGUGUGAGGCAGGCGGAAUGCGUGGUGUAGCGGUGAAAUGCUUAGAGAUCACGCAGAACCCUGAUUGCGAAGGCAGCCUGCCAGGCCAUGACUGACGCUGAUGCACGAAAGCGUGGGGAUCAAACAGGAUUAGAUACCCGAGUAGUC